GAUGAACGCUGGCGGCGUGCCUAAUACAUGCAAGUCGAGCGAACAGACGAGGAGCUUGCUCCUCUGACGUUAGCGGCGGACGGGUGAGUAACACGUGGAUAACCUACCUAUAAGACUGGGAUAACUUCGGGAAACCGGAGCUAAUACCGGAUAAUAUAUUGAACCGCAUGGUUCAAUAGUGAAAGACGGCUUUGCUGUCACUUAUAGAUGGAUCCGCGCCGCAUUAGCUAGUUGGUAAGGUAACGGCUUACCAAGGCAACGAUGCGUAGCCGACUUGAGAGGGUGAUCGGCCACACUGGAACUGAGACACGGUCCAGACUCCUACGGGAGGCAGCAGUAGGGAAUCUUCCGCAAUGGGCGAAAGCCUGACGGAGCAACGCCGCGUGAGUGAUGAAGGUCUUCGGAUCGUAAAACUCUGUUAUUAGGGAAGAACAAAUGUGUAAGUAACUAUGCACGUCUUGACGGUACCUAAUCAGAAAGCCACGGCUAACUACGUG
rnacentral:rRNA from 1 species